AGGAAAUGUAACAACAACGGACGUAGGUGUUGUAGCAAUAUGAGAUGUCGACGAAAUAGAUGCGAGAGAAGAAAUGGCGGAAAUGGCGGUAUUAUUGGGUGUAUCAGACGAGGUGAACGGUGUACACAAAACGGGAUCAGAAGGUGUUGCAAUGGACGUUGUCGACAGUAUGGUCUAUACAGCAAAUGCAACUAGUUUUCCAAAAAUGUCACGUGACUGACCAAACGAAAAGCUGAACGCAGACACGAGCGAACUUCAUUCUGUUCUUCAAAAAUCAGUGUAGAAGGAAAUUCGUCAUGAAUCUUUUAAUGCAAAUAAAUGAUUAGCAGAUUUA